rnacentral:tRNA from 1 species
GGCAGUGUAGCAUAGUGGUAAGGUGCAGGGCUUGUAACCAAAAGGUUGCUAAUUCGAUUCCCUGCUGGCGCACUGCCA